UGCAGUCGAACGGAAAGGCCCAGCUUGCUGGGUGCUCGAGUGGCGAACGGGUGAGUAACACGUGGGUGAUCUGCCUCUAACUUCGGGAUAAGCUUGGGAAACUGGGUCUAAUACCGGAUAGGACAAUCGUUUAGUGUCGGUUGUGGAAAGUUUUUUCGGUUAGGGAUGAGCCCGCGGCCUAUCAGCUUGUUGGUGGGGUAAUGGCCUACCAAGGCGUCGACGGGUAGCCGGCCUGAGAGGGUGGACGGCCACAUUGGGACUGAGAUACGGCCCAGACUCCUACGGGAGGCAGCAGUGGGGAAUAUUGCACAAUGGGCGCAAGCCUGAUGCAGCGACGCCGCGUGGGGGAUGACGGCCUUCGGGUUGUAAACCUCUUUCGACAGGGACGAAGCUUUGGUGACGGUACCUGUAUAAGAAGCACCGGCUAACUACGUGCCAGCAGCCGCGGUAAUACGUGGGGUGCGAGCGUUGUCCGGAAUUACUGGGCGUAAAGAGCUCGUAGGUGGUUUGUCGCGUCGUCUGUGAAAUUCCGGGGCUUAACUUCGGGCGUGCAGGCGAUACGGGCAUAACUUGAGUGCUGUAGGGGAGACUGGAAUUCCUGGUGUAGCGGUGGAAUGCGCAGAUAUCAGGAGGAACACCGAUGGCGAAGGCAGGUCUCUGGGCAGUAACUGACGCUGAGGAGCGAAAGCAUGGGGAGCGAAUAGGAUUAGAUACCCUGGUAGUCCAUGCCGUAAACGGUGGGCGCUAGGUGUAGGGGUCUUCCACGACUUCUGUGCCGUAGCUAACGCAUUAAGCGCCCCGCCUGGGGAGUACGGCCGCAAGGCUAAAACUCAAAGGAAUUGACGGGGGCCCGCACAAGCGGCGGAGCAUGUGGAUUAAUUCGAUGCAACGCGAAGAACCUUACCUGGGCUUGACAUAUACAGGACUGGG
rnacentral:rRNA from 1 species